AACCCCAAUGCCAACGUCCGAGCUGGCAGCACGGGUACUUGUACCUGGUGGCGAGCGGCGGAGGGAGAGUAAUGCCUAGGAAUCUGCCUGGUAGUGGGGGAUAACGCUCGGAAACGGACGCUAAUACCGCAUACGUCCUACGGGAGAAAGCAGGGGACCUUCGGGCCUUGCGCUAUCAGAUGAGCCUAGGUCGGAUUAGCUAGUUGGUGAGGUAAUGGCUCACCAAGGCGACGAUCCGUAACUGGUCUGAGAGGAUGAUCAGUCACACUGGAACUGAGACACGGUCCAGACUCCUACGGGAGGCAGCAGUGGGGAAUAUUGGACAAUGGGCGAAAGCCUGAUCCAGCCAUGCCGCGUGUGUGAAGAAGGUCUUCGGAUUGUAAAGCACUUUAACUUGGGAGGAAGGUCAGUUACCUAAUACGUAAUUGUUUUGACGUUACCGACAGAAUAAGCACCGGCUAACUCUGUGCCAGCAGCCGCGGUAAUACAGAGGGUGCAAGCGUUAAUCGGAAUUACUGGGCGUAAAGCGCGCGUAGGUGGUUCGUUAAGUUGGAUGUGAAAUCCCCGGGCUCAACCUGGGAACUGCAUUCCAAACUGACGAGCUAGAGUAUGGUAGAGGGUGGUGGAAUUUCCUGUGUAGCGGUGAAAUGCGUACACUAGGAAGGAACACCAGUGGCGAAGGCGACUACCUGUACUGAUACUGUCAUUGAGGUGCGAAUGCCUGCGGAGCAACUAUGAUUACAUACCCUGCCACCCA
rnacentral:rRNA from 1 species